CUCCCACCUGCUCCUUGCGCCCCCCGACUGCCGCCGCCACGCACCUUCGCCCGCCUCGCCUCGCCUCGCCACGCCGCCGCCUCCUCUCGCCCAGUUUCGCUCGUGCUCUGGUUACCAGGGACGAGCUGCGGCCACGUCUCCGCCGCCGUCGUCCACCGGAUACCCGGACCUGGGUCGGGGUAGCCUGGCAGCGGCCGCCUGACCUGCAGCGGCUGCCGCAGCGGUGCAACUUUCUUCGUUCAAGUAAGAUCGGUGAAACGGGAGCCGAGCUCCCACAGAUCUGUAUCGAUCUCAUUCGGCUCAACCCCGGUAGAUCUUUACCUUGAACGCAUGUUUUCGGCUGUUGUUUUUCCUGUGCGUACUCGCGUUCGACUUAGCAUCGAAUCCCUCAGUUUAUGCAGUGUUGUUGUGGUCGAUUGACAUCCCUGUGAAGAUGAAAUUCAGGUCCAAAGACGACUGAUGACUGGUUUUAGCCUCAAGCCAUCAUGUCUCGCCGUUUUUGGUGAGCUUAUGGCUUGGGGCUAAAACCUGUUUAGGGUCGUCGAUGAUGGCCAUAUUAGCUAUGAGAUCUGAGGGACACCGUCAAUAUGAGUACAUAAUACUUUCUUCUCCUUUGGUUUGUCCUGCCGAGUACCUUUAUAUGUUGUAUCUAGCUCAAGUAGCAGUCAGUGUCCCAAUGAAGAAAAUAUUUCAGUACCGAAGAUGAAUGGUUGGUUAGUUUUAGCUUCAAGCCAUUUUAGUAUAUUUCUUUGGACAUGUGGCUUGUGGCUAAAACUAGUUUACUUUAAAGUUCAUCCGUGAUGGCCAUAGCUAUGAGAUCCGAGGGAUGCCGACCAUUAGAGCCUCGUAGCCCAUUUCAUCUUUGCUCAACCUCAUUUGUUCCGCUAUUUAUAGUAUAAAUUAUGUGUCUGAUGAGUUUGAUUUGUUCCAGUUUGACUGCUCUAAGUUUUGUUUCUGUUAGCAGAGGUUGCACUGUACUGUCUUCUCGUCAGCCAAAGAUUUUUUAAAAUAGUCCUAGGGCCAUAUUAGCUAGGAGAUCUGAUGGACAUAAUCAAUUGGACCUGUUAGCCAAGAAUUUUUUUAAAAUUGUUUUAGGGCCAUAUUAGCUAGGAGAUCUGAUGGACAUCAUCAAUAUGAUUACAUGGUCCUUACUUUCUCUCUUGGUUUUUGAGACUGGGUUCUUGAUUUAGAUGGAAGUGAGGAUCCUUUCCCCAGCUGAUCGACUAUGAUUAUACUGUGCGCAAAUGUAAUCCUUUAUCAGAGGAUUCCAAGCCAGAAAUCUGAUCCAUCACGCCCGACAGCUUCUAUCCACUUUUUUCUCUCUUAUACUUGACCUUUGUGUUUCUUAUUUGAUUUGUAAAUUGAAUGGAAGUGAGGAUCCUUUCCCCAAAUGAUGGACUAUGAUUAUACUGCGCGCAACUGCAAUCCUUUAUCAGAGGAUUCGAAGCCAGAAAUCUGAUCCAUCUGGCAUGACAGUUCUAUCUCCCUUUUCUCUCUUAUACUUGACCUUUACUUUCUCAUUUGAUUGGUAAAUUGAAUGGAAGUGAGGAUCCUUUCCCCAAAUGAUCGACUAUGAUUAUACUGUGCGCAACUGUAAUCCUUUACCAGAGGAUUCCAAGCCAGAAAUCUGAUCCAUCUUUGUUAUCUCUGCCACCUUGUUUUUUCAAUUUUGUUUUUAUUUUACUAAGAAAACUGAAUGGACUUUAGCGUCCUUUCUAACUAUACUGUGCACAAAUGUAAUCCGUUAUAACAGGAUUCCAAACCAGAGAUCUGAUGCACCUUCUUUUGUUUUGUUCUAUUUUAACUUUCUGAUUGGGCUUUGUUUCAUUUUUUUGAAGUUGAAUGGAAGUGAGGAUCCUUUCCCCAAAUGAUCGACAUUGAUUAUACUGUGCGCAACUGUAAUCCUUUAUCAGAGGAUUCCAAGCCAGAAAUCUGAUCCAUCUUGCUCAACAAUCUCAACCCCUGUUGCUCUGUUUGUAUUGUUUUUUUGUCCUGAUUUGUAAAUGGAAUGGAAGUGAGGAUUUUUAUCUCUUUUGAUUGUGCUUUGUUUAAAAAUUAUCUUGUGUUUACUGUCAUUUCAUAUUGUGUUAUUGUUUUCUAGUGACCUGGCCUGAAACCUUUCUCGAUGAAGAGAGUACAAGCAGACGGGCGGUCUGAACUGAUGCCAUGUUGAUAUGUCUGCAUCAUCUGUGCUUUUACCCUUGUGGAUAGCAUCAGAGAGAAAACAAAGAUCAUUCUUAAAUUUGUGCCUUAGCUCGAAUUCUUCCUCAUAGACAGAUGGGGUUCAGUUUAUUACUUGACUCCAGUCUUUGUGACAGAUCGGGUGAGGAUAGUGGGAUGGUUUACUUACCAAUCGUUUUGCAGCAUAUGCCAUUGCUCUGAUUCAAAUGGUCUAACCGAGAUUCUCCGUUUCAACUAAGCUUUGAAUGCUUUUGAUUCUUCCUGCUUGCAUAUCCUACAGUCAAUGGAAAAUUCCAUGUGGUUUAAUGAAUCUCCACUUGUUAUCUGUUGCCAUUCAUUUUAUCUCUCUAUUUGUCUCUGCUAUUUCAAAUUUUAUCAAUCUUCUUGUGGCUUAGGGUGACAAAUGAGGUGAAAUAUUGUAUGCUAAACACUGAAUCUUUGAUAUGUUUACAAAACUCCUCUUAUUAUCUGAUGCCACACCUGCUUGGAACCACUUUUUCUAGUCUAUUUUCUGCACAAUUUCUUCAUUACUUGUGUAUUAAAUUUGAUUGAUGGCAGUGAUUUGAAUCUUACCCGCGCUUCUGAUUAAUCCAUGAAGUACAAGGGAAAACAUGGUUGAAUUUCUUAAUAUGAGCCAAUCAAAUCUUCUUCUCUUAGAUUUGUGUGUUCUGGUUCUGCCAUGGCCGUGAUGAUUAACACUUUCAGCAAACAUGCCAGUUCUGCUUCUGAGAAUUCAUGACUGAAAAUUUUGUUAUAUAAGAUCUGAGCCAUUUUGCACUUAGAAAAGCUGUGUUCUCCAAUGGUAGAUAUCUGAAGAUUUAUGAUUGAUUACCUUGGUCUCUUCCAUAAAUUCUCUGUCAGCAUGUAAAUUCUUCUCAGCAUGUAAAUUCUUCUGAAACACCAUCUGAAUUGCCAAUGAUGCCACACCCAACAUUUGGAGGUGCAGAUGGCUCCAGGAUCCUGUUUACAGGAUGAACCUACCUGGAGGCGCUGUAUCCAUAUGACAUUCAUGGGCAAGUCUGAGGUUUUUGAUGAUCAUGAAACUUUUCUUCCUGUUUUCAUGUUGUUUUCUGCUUUUUUUAAUUGGUAAAUGAAAUGUUUGUGUAUUUAUUUUUGCCGAGUUUAACUAUCCUCUCACAAGUACCUCUGAUUUGCGGAAGAGGCUUUGUCUCUUGGUCCUAUGAGAUGGGAGUUAAAUAACGACACCAGAUUCAGUCAUGUUCAAUGUGUGAUGAUAGUCAGUUCAGAGUUGCAGUCCUUUUUGCCUUCAAAAAAACUGAUGGAAUAAAAAUCUGAAAACACAAAUAGAAACUGCUCGAAGAAAUAUAAAAAAGCGGGGUUUACUAUUGACCUGUUUGAGUAGCUUUGUUUGUGGUAUCUAGCUUGAGCAGCAUUGUCCAGAUGAAGAACAACAUUUAGUACCAAAGAUUAUGGCUUGAAUUAGUUUUUGCUCCAAUCCAUUGUAGUCUUUAUUUCUACUGAUUUGUAGUUUGUGGUUAAAACUAGUUAUUGAUUGUGUCAUCUGUGAUGGCCAAUAGCUAUGAGAUCUGAGGGAUUCGUCUAUUUGAGACUUGUUUUUUCCCUAGGAGUUGAUUUGGCUCUUCUGUUAUGUUUUCCUUUUGUUAUCUAGGGAGGUUUUCUUCUCCAUGAAAUAGCAUUCUACAGAUGAUUAGAAUAUUUGGCGUAGAUAAUUUAUGUCGCCUCUUUCUUUCACUAGUGCACUGUUGUGGCAAUUCAUUCUUCUUUUCUACAUUAGUUUGCGUUUGUAUUUUCCUCUUCGUUUUGUUUCAUAAGACUUGUCAACAGAUGGUCGCCUUCAAGAGAACCUGGUGGAUUUUGUGUUUCAUGGUGGUUCCGUUGCGGGCAUACACUGAUCUAGAGCCUCCACCGUGUCUCACCCUCCACAUCUUUUGCUGGGUGUUGGAUUGGUUCUUGAACAUUUUGAAUAUUAUCUUUGUUUUUCUAUGAUUGUAUGGCUUCUGUUUUUCAUUUUUGUCCGUGGCCUUCAUAAUCCCGGAUUAACUUGCUUAGCUGUUCUUCUGAUUCAUGGGAGGCCAAAACUGAUGUCUGGGAGUUUCGCUGAUAGCGCCUCGUUACUACUGGAGGUGCUUCAUUAGUAACUUGCCACACAGACAAAUUGAUCAAUUUUCUGUACUUCUGUUUGUUCAUGUGUUCAUGUUCUGUUUAUUUGAUUCGGGGAGCUUUGUCCCAUUGUCCGACUGCCGUUCUCUUGGUUGAUCUGACUUUACAAAGCUCCCGAGAGGUAUUCAGGUGGCGCUUAGAGCACAAAUCCGUCUGAUGGAUCUUGGGUUACGCUCGCCCCCAAAUUCCAGUUUAGUCUUUUUUCAAGCAUUUUAAACCUUUCAUGGUGCAGUGAUUAUAAAACAUUCCUCGUACUGAUGGGAGUUCCCUGUGAAUGACUCCUAUACACCCAUAGAAUCUGAGCACUAACAAACCAUACUUGUUUCUUUGGAUUCUUAAUUUGUUCUUAUUUUUAAUAUGCCGUUCAUUGUUAUUUUCACCUAAUCCGUCUCAUUCAUUUCUGUUUUUUGAUUUUGUUUGUUUGUUCUGGAGCACGUAGUUGCGAUGAGGAUAACAAGCUCCCUCUUCUGAAAGCAUUGACGACAUCGCCGGCAGAAUCGAACCAAUUAAAUAUUGCCACCACUGAGCAACUCUGGGUGUUUCUACUCUUGUCAGUUAUUGACCAUUUGCUUGUUCUUACCUUCCAGUCUGCAAAAUCUGUUUGGAUCAUCAGGAGGUAUUGAUGCAUAAUCCAACACUUGUUCCGAGGGCGGCUUUAGCCGCCCAUGUGAUGUCAUUCUUGCAUCUGAAUCCACCACAUAUUUUUUUUCAUUUGGUCUAGUUUUUAUUGAUCUGGUCGGUAUCAGAGGAUGAAACCUUCAAACAAUCUUAGGACACCUUCUGACACAGUGCUUAUUUUCCUGUGAAUGAGAAGGCAUUUUAUUCUGAUGAUACACCCUGUUUAUUUGAGUUUUUGGCCCAAGGAUGUUUAGGGCCCUGUUUUCUAUCUAGAACGCAAAUGGAGCCUAUGAUGAUUAGCUUUACGUUGGAAUUACCGUCAGAUUCGAAAUGAUGAUAUUUUUGCGGCUUUCUGAGGCUUAAGACAGCUUAGCUCUUCUACUUUUUUAUUGUUAUGAAGUUUCUUCAGCCUGGUUAAGAUUCUUAGACCAUAGGAUGUUCUGCAAGUGUCCUCCUUUGCCCAGAACCUUUGUAGUUUGGUCUGGGCUGGAAUCCCCAGCCGCACUUUGUUUUUUCAGCUGUGUGUGUAAUUUUAAACAGGUUCCUGAGGGAUUCUCCUCUUGGUUGCUUGGUUUUUUUUUGCAUAUAGUAUCUGGAUGUGCCAUUUGCUGCAUCUCUGUUGGCUUUCAACAUUAACCAAAUAUGCUCAUCUUGAUAAGAGACUCUGCAAUUAUGAUACAAGUCGGCGACAACUGUACCAAGAGGCUACAAGACAGCACCACAUUAAUAGAAGGAAAACGCUUCCAGCCGGCCAGCCGGCCGAGUUUGGGCCGGACGUCUCGUCAUGUGGGAAACAACCAAACCGCUUGCAACACGUGUUCCCGCGGGUCCACCCUUAUCUGUACCCUUUUCUCCUCCCAUCGUCCACCCUUCGUCUUCCACCUCCGUCUUCGUUGCUUUCCCUUCCCCCAUCUUUACAGUUUACACGGAGAGAGCUUCUCCAAUACUGCGGCUCCUGUCCAAGCUCCUCCCUAUCCUGGUAGCAGAGCCAUUGCCCACCUCUUCUCCCCGCUCCGUUGCAGCUGUGCUGCUAUGGCCAGAUGCUACAGGAGUUGGAGACGCUUGCAAUCUACAAAGCUACAACCAUCAACGUCAAAAGCUACAACCGGUGUUGCCGAAAGCUGCAACCAGUCAUAAAAAAAGUUUUGACCCGUUAGUAAAAAGCUUCGGCCGGUGAUUCAAAAAGCUUCAACCGGCGAGUGUGGAAUGAGAAAAGCUGGAAUCGUUGACACAAAAGCUUCAACCAUAUACUUGAGGAGAUCCAACCAGAGACCAGUGAGAAAGAGCUAUAGCGACGAGCCGUUGAUGCACACUGCAUUUUUUCUGUGCAUCAAUGGAGCUGUGACGGAUGCUGGAACUGGCGCUCUUUUUUGCUGUGUCCGGAAGUUUGCUGCAUAGGAGGGGUGGACCUGGGAGCCGGUGUCGCAACCGGCGAGCAGCGGCAAGCCGACGGUGCUUCCAGGUCACGCGUCCAUGGCGAGGUGCUACGUCCGGCGGGAGCUACAACCUGCAUGGCAGUGCUCUAGUGACGGAGUUCGACGAAUAAGGCCAUGGUGGUGCCCUCGCAGCCAUGGCGGCACCCCUGUGGAGGAGCUGGACGACCCCAUGGCCACGGCGACGGUGGCGAUGUUACUACUACGGGGGUGUUGGACGGCGUCGUGGGGUGAGAUGGGGGCGAGGGUGGGGGUGCUGCUUGAGCACGCACGGCCGCGCGAAGGGAGCAGGGACACAUCCAGCAGUGCAGAGCGCUCCAAUCGCACGGCUGCAGGGUGACCGGCCGAAUUUUCGAAUUUUCGGCUGGCGCACGGGCGCCUAGCAGUUGCCUUGAUAGAAGCUCUUGGUUCAUUUAUUGUAAUCAUCUUAUUUUGACAUUUGUAAGCAUGGCUGUACAUAAAUUGGCUUUCCAUCCUAUGCUCUUAGAUCCAGUAUUGGUAAGAAUCCAAUAUCUUAUAUGAAUA